GCCUGUGAACACCAGGCAUGCAAGUGGCACACAGACGUCCACACAGGUGAAACACCUAUAGACAUAAAAUGAGAAAUAAACAAAUCUCAAAAAGCGGUGGCCCUGGAUGUGCUCAGCCUGAAUCAGAAUAGCAGUUUUAGAGGGGAAGCACAUUUUAGAGGCACUGCAGAAGAGUCUCUUGCUUACACUCAGAUGCUUGACUAGUGCUGAAAGAGACUGGCCUCUCCCUGAGGACAGAAUCCUCUACUGUUCCUGACAGGGACAGGAUGAUAAGAGAAGUGGACCCAUCAGCAGACCAGACGUGUUCCAUGACAGCGCACAAAGAAGAGCCUGCUGCUGACAGGGGCCACUUCUGAGGUGACCUCCUGAAAGGACCCACUCUUAGGAAUCUCCGCAAUUCCCUCACCCAGAGAAAAGCUGAGGUGCAGAGCCAGUGAAGGAAGGCGUCUACUUACCAUGCGCUUGAGGAAGCUCCAGUGCUGGACCACGACCCACUGAUGGUUGACACUCCUGAACAGAUGCGUGACCCUGUGGGGCAAAUCCCGUAGAGCUCUUCUCUCUAGAUACCAGACACAUCCUCCCACCGAGCCUGUGACACGGAGACAAAGAAGAAGGCGUGUUGAAAUGGCGGCUGCUCACUCGAUAGCACCUACAUCAAAGCCAAGCAAGAUGCUGCUGUGUGGGGCUGGUCUCCAAACCACCUGAUUCCAACCUGGGAAUAAAUGGCACACAUCAGCACUAGGCUUAGGUCAGGGAUAGAAAACAUCACUUCCACAUCACUCUAGUUACAAGAAUUCAGGAGACUACCACACUGUAGAUGUUUCUGAGAAGAAAACACGACGCAAUGAGUUCACUUUUCAUAAAGUAGAAAAGGCAGUGCCCAUCUUUUCUCACUGAACGCUGGUAAACUCAAAUGAAGGUUUACAUUUCCUUUGUAUAGUUAAGAUAACUACAAGGAAGGGAAAAUGACUCCCAGUAAAAUAUGACUGUCAACCCAGUUAGGAAUAAGCUGCUUCUCUGUUGCAUCCAAAUUUGAAUUUUAAUCACUUUAUUAAACCUCUCAAAUCAACAAAUUCA